GCCAGUGUAGCAUAAUGGUUUGAGUGUUGGACUGUGACUCUGGAAAACAGGGUUCUAUUCCCCGCUUGGCCA